rnacentral:ncRNA from 1 species
GAUUAUCGAAGGAAUAGACCUUAAUUCAUAAUC